rfam:Picoides pubescens contig88171, whole genome shotgun sequence.
UCUGGCAAUGAUGCCACACUUGCCCUCACUGAGAACGCUGUUCAAUAAUGAGCCUCAGCAUGCGCUCAGACCAGCUGAGCCAGA